UCACCAUCUUCCAAUCCCAUUCAUAAGUACUCCGUUCAUAUUUGGAAUUAACCGCUCAAAUUAGUCUUUCUUAAAAGAGUUGGAUAUCAGGUGCAUCACUGAUUUGGCCGGCCUUGAAAAUCAACAAAGAAACGAGGUUAAUCGAAGGAAAAUCCAAAGAAAUUAACGCAAAAAUCACGUCGUCUGGGAUUUGAAGCUCCGCUCGUAGGCGACUGGAAAAGUUGGCGCGCGCGUUGGGAGCCACGAGUACGAUACGCCUCAUCUAGCUGCGUGUGGAGUUACAUGAGCGCGUGGGUGACCCAUUUUCUUCCUAAUUUGACAUUUGCUCAAUAAUUUGACCGGUUCACUUAGUUUUAAACCGGUUCCCA